UAAGCUAACAGGGGGAACACAUGAUAAUGAAAUAUAAGGCAAUUGUAAAUACGAAUAGGCAAAAGAAAAGAAUAUCCUUGAAGGAUGACAUUGUUGAACAAUAGCACAAAACAAGGUAAAAACACUAAAGCUAAACAACCAUUUUAACCGGAUUAAACAACCAUUUUAAACCGAAUUAAACUCAUACAAUUAACUUAAAUCUAG
rnacentral:lncRNA from 1 species